GCCGCGUGUGGGAUGAAGGCCUUCGGGUUGUAAAGCUCUUUCGACAGGGAAGAUUAUGACGGUACCUGUGGAAGAAGCUGCGGCUAACUACGUGCCAGCAGCCGCGGUAAUACGUAGGGGGCAAGCGUUGUUCGGAAUUACUGGGCGUAAAGGGUGCGUAGGCGGAUCUAUAAGUCUGGUGUGAAAUCUCCGGGCUCAACUCGGGGGGUGCGCCCGAUACUGUCGGGCUUGAGGCUGGGAGAGGAAAGUGGAAUUCCUGGUGUAGCGGUGAAAUGCGUAGAUAUCAGGAGGAACACCAGUGGUGAAGGCGGCUUUCUGGACCUGUUCUGACGCUGAGGCACGAAAGCUUGGGUAGCAAACAGGAUUAGAUACCCUGGUAGUCCACGCCCUAAACGAUGCAUACUUGGUGUGGGUGGUU
rnacentral:rRNA from 1 species